GCCAAGCUUGUGCGCAUGCGUGCUGAAGUACUUCCUUUCCAAUCCAGCAAGCAAGACGAAGAGCGAAGAUUUGAAUUGGAAAUCGAACUAUUUUACUGCAAAGAAAACCAUCGACGUCCAUAAAGAUUCAGACAGCCAGGCUCUCAAAGAUUGGUGGAUAUGACUUAAAGAGCAGUUUAAGCACCAUCAUGGACAGGCUCAUGACAAAUGAAUUAAUGUCCAAUCUGAACAUGAAGGGGAGAGGGGGAAAAACUGCCUUUGCCGAGACAAAGCUGCUCGAUGUAGUCACAGCUAGUGUAUUGGAUACCCAGAAGGGGACCGAAACGAUGGUCCAUGAUGCCAUAAAAAAUAAACUGAAAUAUGCCCCAGGACGGAAGAGAGGAAUAGGAUGGGCAUCACAGGCUGAAUAAAUAAUUAUAUCGAU